CUUCUAGUAACCCGUCUUGUGUUAACAGUAGAAACCCAACGAGGAAAUUUAUGGGGCGAAAUUACUUUGGAAAACUUUACCGGAUUUCAUAUCAAUGUAAUUCAAAUUCGAACAAUCAAUGAUUUUGGAUAAUGAUAACCAACACCUAUUAAGCAAAUAUCUGAAAUUAUUUGUACAUUCGUAAUAAAUAAUAUUUUUGUCAUAAUAAAUAGCAUUUCAAUAAAUAAAGUCAUCAUGUAAUUCACUGCGUCUUAUAAAUAUUGACACUGUUGAUAACUGAGUUUACGUAAGCAAUUGUUGUUGACAAUUGCAUUAAAAGGGAAUGCUGGUAAAGUGCACCCUUUUGACAUCUUUCUGCACCCCAUUCAUUUAAAAUAUGCUCAAAGUGAAAUCUAGAACAUUGUUAAUUAUAGAUGCUCUUUAUCUGUUUUUCCAUUCACUGGCGAUUGGAAGUAGGUUCUGUUUCCAUGCAAAAUCAAGAUUUGUUGUUUACGAAAUCAACUGGAAAAUAUUUCUUCAGUACGAAGAGAUGAACUUCAAGACGAGGUAUAUGAAAAUACCGCAUUCGGAGUAGAAAAACAAUACCCGCUUAUCACUAAACCAAUUGGAGCAAUUAAUUCCUUCCAUACCAUAUAAAAACCGACCUUCUUGACAGGUGGUCUAUCAGCAGCCGAUUACAGUUCCUUUCAUAUUCUUGAGGGGUAGCACCACCAGUAUAAAGGCCUAAGAAAGCGGUUUCUGGAGACUUUUUUUGUGAUGGAAGAAAAGGCUUCAGAGGAAUACAAGUUGCGGGCGACUAUUGCGCAUAUAUCACUCCUCCUUAAGCUUAUCGUAUUUGAGAUGUUCUACGGCACGCGGUAUAACUAUUCCCAAUUUAAAGGAAGGAAAAAGGAAAAAAAAACGCUUUAAUCUACAUCAGUGUAGCCAGAGAAUGACGCAAAGAAUUUGCUAUAUAUAUAUUGAUCGAAGUCGACUAGUCGACUAGUCUUUAUUUAAAGUUGCUGAAUUUUAGCCAAAAAAAAAAUGACUUUAACCCGCCACUAAAAAAAGCUGAAUAGAACUUAUCAAAAAUUCCCUAUAUUCUUUUCUUCGAAAUUUUAUUGUAAAGAUGUGGCUAAAUUUUUGAAUAAAAAUAUUGAAAAUUGUUAGAGU